UAUACAAGAGGGAGGGGCUGACGGUGCCAGAGCCCCAGGGAGCCUGGAAUUCUUGGCCCCCAGCUCUGGUCUCUGCCCUGAGCGGCUGUCUCUCACACGCAGUCCCUCCCUCUGCGAUGUGCCUGCCUUGCGCCAGCACCAAAGGGGGCUAAAUCCUCAGAGAGGCUGUACAGCUUCUCCUUUCAGAGCUGCCCAAAGAACACGCUUCCCCAAUGUUCUUCUUUACAUUUUGCCUACAUAUUUUUACAGCCAAACAGUGCUUUCAAAGACUUCCUUUUUUCAUCUCCUAAUUAAUUUUUAUCUUCCCAGAUGGAGGGAGGACAGCACAGGAGACGCUGUUUGUGAUGUCUGCUGCUCCCCGACAACUCUUCAAAUGCAAUUUCCUUUGGAAUGCCGGGGCGCCUGGAGCCGCCCCGUCUCCCAGGCUGCAGGCGACGGCGUCCGCUCAACGUGUAUCGCUUGAACAACUACGCGGGAUGCAGUGGGACUGUGUGGACUGGGGAUACGUAGGCGCACUGGCUGCGGCUCUGCUCUUCCCCAACCGAAUCCCAGACCGUGGCUGACUCCUUAGAGAAGCCGCAUGCACACAGCGACAGAGAGCACGGCCCCUGGCGCCAGACCGCGGGGGUUUCAAAUCCCUGCUCUGCAUUUCAUUAGCUGUUGAUCUUAGGCAAGUCCGUGUGAACUCAGGCCACUUUUGAGCCUGCUUUCCUCAGGGGUAGAAUGGGAGAUGAUCACAAUGGUCUGUACCUUCCAGAGUUGUGAGGAGGACACACACGGAUACAGGCCAAGUGCAUGGAAUGUUGCCCGGCACCCAGUGAGUGCUUGAUAAAUGUUACUAUUAUCGUCGACCUUG